rnacentral:rRNA from 1 species
CACCGCGGUUAUACGAGGGGCCCAAGUUGAUAUUCUCCGGCGUAAAGAGUGGUUAUGGAAUAAAUAAACUAAGGCCGCACUUCCUCAAGGCUGUUAUACGCACCCGAAGAACAGAAGCCCAACCACGAAAGUGGCUUUAAAAUACCUGACUCCACGAAAGCUGUGGCA